rnacentral:rRNA from 1 species
UACAGAGGUGGCAAGCGUUGUUCGGAAUUACUGGGCGUAAAGGGCUCGUAGGCGGCCAACUAAGUCCGACGUGAAAUCCCAAGGCUUAACCUUGGAACUGCGUCGGAUACUGGAUGGCUUGAAUUCGGGAGAGGGAUGCAGAAUUCCAGGUGUAGCGGUGAAAUGCGUAGAUAUCUGGAGGAAUACCGGUGGCGAAGGCGGCAUCCUGGACCGACAUUGACGCUGAGGAGCGAAAGCGUGGGGGAGCGAACAGG